rnacentral:piRNA from 1 species
UGAGAGGUUUUCUCAGGAGUGG